CUGGCUCAGGACGAACGCUGGCGGCGUGCCUAAUACAUGCAAGUCGAGCGGACAGAUGGGAGCUUGCUCCCUGAUGUUAGCGGCGGACGGGUGAGUAACACGUGGGUAACCUGCCUGUAAGACUGGGAUAACUCCGGGAAACCGGGGCUAAUACCGGAUGGUUGUUUGAACCGCAUGGUUCAAACAUAAAAGGUGGCUUCGGCUACCACUUACAGAUGGACCCGCGGCGCAUUAGCUAGUUGGUGAGGUAAUGGCUCACCAA
rnacentral:rRNA from 1 species